rnacentral:rRNA from 1 species
UAGGGAAUCUUCGGCAAUGGGGGCAACCCUGACCGAGCAACGCCGCGUGAGUGAAGAAGGUUUUCGGAUCGUAAAGCUCUGUUGUAAGAGAAGAACGUGUGUGAGAGUGGAAAGUUCACACAGUGACGGUAACUUACCAGAAAGGGACGGCUAACUACGUGCCAGCAGCCGCGGUAAUACGUAGGUCCCGAGCGUUGUCCGGAUUUAUUGGGCGUAAAGCGAGCGCAGGCGGUUUAAUAAGUCUGAAGUUAAAGGCAGUGGCUUAACCAUUGUUCGCUUUGGAAACUGUUAAACUUGAGUGCAGAAGGGGAGAGUGGAAUUCCAUGUGUAGCGGUGAAUGCGUAGAUAUAUGGAGGAACACCGGUGGCGAAAGCGGCUCUCUGGUCUGUAACUGACGCUGAGGCUCGAAAGCGUGGGGAGCAAACAGG